UACAGAGGGUGCAAGCGUUGUUCGGAAUUAUUGGGCGUAAAGGGCGCGUAGGCGGUGCGGUAAGUCUGUAGUGAAAUCUCUGGGCUCAACUCAGAGUCUGCUGCAGAAACUGCCGUGCUUGAGUGUGGGAGAGGUGAGUGGAAUUCCCGGUGUAGCGGUGAAAUGCGCAGAUAUCGGGAAGAACACCCGUGCGAAGGCGGCUCUCUGGGACGGUACUGACGCUGAGACGCGAAAGCGUGGGGAGCGAACAGG
rnacentral:rRNA from 1 species